CAGUUAGAGGUAUGAUGUACUACUAUCGGGCCCUCAAGAUGUUGGCUUUUCUAGAUUCUGCAUCAGAAAUGGACAUUCGUG